GCAUAUGCUCUAGGCUCUGCCGCGGUGCCGCCUACGCCUCCCUCGUCUCCUCCUCUUCCUUCCUCUCGUCUAUCUCCCUGCGAUCAGUGAUCACUCGUCUCCAUAACUGAGGAUACAAGUACCAGGUAAUUACAAGCAUCUCUCUCUCUCUCUCUCUCUCUCUCUCUCUCUCUCUCUCUCUCUCUCUCUCUCUCUCUCUCUCUCUCUCUCUAAGCAUGUUCGAUCCAUGGACCAUGUCCGGUGCAAUUCUUGCCUUCUUGCGCUGAUUUGGAUUCGUUCAAGCUAGUGCCAUCCCAUGAUCAAGAAGAAGCAGUUGCUCCUUUUUUUUUUCCAAACUACGAAAACGGAGCGGUUGCUCGACACGACAUACUUGCAUGGUAGUUACCCCACGAAUUAUGUUUUCCAGAGUGAUCAAACUCUUGUGGUGAUCUUUGGGCUAAUUGAACCGUUGAUAGUCUUUCAGUUUUUGUUUUUUUAGCUUUCUUUUAGAUAUAAUAAACGAAGAAAAUAUUAUAGUUUGGUCAGGUUUUCCACAAAGGAAAACAUAUCAACAAAUAUCGUUGCCUGAGAAUAAUCGUCCUGUACAUUUUCUGACUAGAGACAAAAGUCAGGAUUGCCGCCCACGCGUUUGAUGGAAGAGACUGCAAGAACCGGCGACGAUCGCAGGACUUGACUGGGGGCGCCUGGUCCUGCACGGCGUACACUUGGCCUUUCCAGGUGUUGCAUUCUUGUAUCUUUCAUAGCUACAGACUAGUACCACUUCUGAACAAUGGGCACAUGCCACUGGUUUUGAAUUUGAUAUGGUCAACCGUAGAGACGGCCGGCAACUUCCUUUUGCUUUCAGUCCGUAACCAUACCCAGUCCAUGUGCUCAGAUUUCAACUGAAUAAUGAUAGAGAGAGAGCGAACUUAGCUGAAUUCGUAUUUUCUGUUCUUGGUGUGCUCUGAAAAGUUGACUUAUAAUAGUACACUUGAAUUCCGUAACAGGAAAAUUGAUCAAACUGGAGGAAUAACAUCUAGUGCACUGGCACGUGCUAUCCGGCCUGUACCUUGACCAGAAGGGGAGGAUAAAGAGUAGAGGGCUCCUAAUAUCCCAUUGAAGCCAAGGUAUGGUGUGACUGUGAUCGCCACAGCAGCAGAGAAAAGGCAACCAAAG
rnacentral:lncRNA from 1 species